CGGUUCUUCGGAAAUCUCAGAGCAGAAAGGUUUCCAGCGCUUCAGAACUCGCUGGAAACCUCUGCAGUCAGAGCAGGAAACCCAGAGCCCUCGUUUGGGAGCUCUUUGGAGGUUGCAGCCUCUCCCGGGAAGAGCCGCACCCCAUCUUGGCGCACCCCUGCAGCAGGCAUGUCGACGAACUCGGGCUCUUCGCCCCGCCGCACGCUGAGUCUGGCCUGAGGGGUCACCGCGCAAACCCAGAGACACGGCCCCCCACCCUUGCUUGAAUCCGAGCAGAAGGUGUACUCGAGGAACAGAGAAGAGGACUUAGAACAAAAUAAAAUGUCAGGGAGAUGACAUGUCAGGACUCCUCUCCCAACCAGAGAGACCGGCGGGACCGACUGACUUCUCACAUUUGUUGUACAAAUUCAAGGGCAGAGAUCUCUUUGGACAAAUUCAGUUUUGGGAGGCAGAGAAUUUUCCCUUUUAGUUUAACGCAGUCAGAAGAGAAACCAGCCCAUGUAACUAAUGUUUGAAUAA